rnacentral:rRNA from 1 species
UACAGAGGGGGCAAGCGUUGUUCGGAAUUACUGGGCGUAAAGGGCGCGUAGGCGGCCUGUUAAGUCGAACGUGAAAGCCCCGGGCUCAACCUGGGAAGUGCAUUGGAUACUGGGAGACUUGAAUACGGGAGAGGGUAGUGGAAUUCCUAGUGUAGGAGUGAAAUCCGUAGAUAUUAGGAGGAACACCGGUGGCGAAGGCGGCUACCUGGACCGAUAUUGACGCUGAGACGCGGAAGCGUGGGGAGCAAACAGG